GAAUGAGUUGGCAGGGACCUAUUCCAGAAAGGCCACUCCCGGCAUUGUCCUCAACUGGAGCCCUGGCCUACCUUUCACCAAGUUGCCCUUGACCCUCAGCCUGGUGGAGCUGACCGAGGAGAUCCUGAAGCUGCUGAUGGAGCUAGUCUUCCGCCUUGUGUGCAGUGGAGAGCUCAGCCUGGCCCGCGUGCUCCGGAAGAAUAUACUGGACAAGGUGGACCAGAAGAAGCUGCUCAGGUGUGCCCAUUCCGACCAGCCUCUGGCAGCCAGGGGUGUCGCAGCCAGGCCAGGGACCUUGCAUGAUUUCCACAGCCACGAGAUAGCAGAGCAGCUGACACUGCUGGACGCUGAGCUUUUCUACAAGAUAGAGGUAUGUGCUGAGUGGCCCUGCCAAGGACAGCAGCUCUUGCCUGGAAGCUGCUGCUGCUGACUGUCCCUAAGAAGAGCCCUCACCCCAGACCCAGGAACACCACAAACUGAAGUGUCAUCUGUUCUGUUUCCACCCAGAUCCCUGAAGUUUUGCUUUGGGCCAAAGAGCAGAAUGAGGAGAAGAGCCCCAAUCUGACCCAGUUCACGGAGCACUUCAACAACAUGUCCUACUGGUAAGAAGGGGCCACAGCACUUGCUCAGGUGGUCUGGGUGGGCCAGUCCAAGCUUCCUGGGCAGAGAGGUUGAAUGGUCAGUCCUGAGCCCUUUCCAGGGCCCAUGGGCCCUGGCCUUGAACUGUGGGCAGCAGAGAGAAGAUAGGGUGGGUUGGCCUCCUGCGGAGCUGGUUGAGGAGGCACCAUAGGCUCUGCCGUGCAGGGAAGAGUGCCAGAAUUGACUGGUGAGCCCUGCUGUGA
rnacentral:lncRNA from 1 species